GUAUAUAAAUAUUACGAAAACAAAAAAUUAUGGCGGUACUUUAAGCUUUUCAGAGGAAUUUGCUCUUUUAUGGAUAAAACACCUGAAUCUUACUAAAAUUAUGAAGUCAGUUUGUAUACCACUAUAAAAGUAAUAAUUUAUUAUUAUUACUUUAAUUUUUGAAUCAAAAAUUAAAUUAAGUCAUGGUGCAGCAAAAAUUUUAGGAUGAAGUGAAUUACAUUUCUUUUAAGAAAAAAAAUAAUGAAAAUUUUAACUUAGGAUUUGAAAGUAAAUAUUUAAUAUAAUGAAAUAUUGAAUUUAGCCCUAAAGUAUGUAC
rnacentral:rRNA from 1 species